ACGGGAGGCAGCAGUGAGGAAUAUUGGUCAAUGGACGAGAGUCUGAACCAGCCAAGUAGCGUGAGGGAUGACGGCCCUAUGGGUUGUAAACCUCUUUGGUGCGGGAAUAAAGUCACCUACGUGUAGGUGUUUGUAUGUACCGCAAGAACAAGGACCGGCUAAUUCCGUGCCAGCAGCCGCGGUAAUACGGAAGGUCCGGGCGUUAUCCGGAUUUAUUGGGUUUAAAGGGAGCGUAGGCCGGACUUUAAGCGUGUUGUGAAAUGUAGAUGCUCAACAUCUGAAUUGCAGCGCGAACUGGAGUCCUUGAGUGCGCGGGAAGUAGGCGGAAUUCGUCGUGUAGCGGUGAAAUGCUUAGAUAUGACGAAGAACUCCGAUUGCGAAGGCAGCUUACUGUAGCGUUACUGACGCUGAGGUUCGAAAGUGCGGGUAUCGAACAGGAUUAGAUACCCUGGUA
rnacentral:rRNA from 1 species